GUGAGGAAUAUUGGUCAAUGGGCGCAAGCCUGAACCAGCCAUGCCGCGUGUGUGAAGAAGGUCUUCGGAUUGUAAAGCACUUUAAGUUGGGAGGAAGGGCAGUAAGUUAAUACCUUGCUGUUUUGACGUUACCGACAGAAUAAGCACCGGCUAACUUCGUGCCAGCAGCCGCGGUAAUACGAAGGGUGCAAGCGUUAAUCGGAAUUACUGGGCGUAAAGCGCGCGUAGGUGGUUUUGUAAGUUGGAGGUGAAAUCCCCGGGCUCAACCUGGGAACUGCCUCCAAAACUGCAUGACUAGAGUACGGUAGAGGGUAGUGGAAUUUCCUGUGUAGCGGUGAAAUGCGUAGAUAUAGGAAGGAACACCAGUGGCGAAGGCGACUACCUGGACUGAUACUGACACUGAGGUGCGAAAGCGUGGGGAGCAAACAGGAUUAGAAACCCCGGUAGUCC
rnacentral:rRNA from 1 species